GACGAACGCUGGCGGCGUGCUUAACACAUGCAAGUCGAGCGAUGAACCCGGAGCUUGCUCCGGUGGAUUAGUGGCGAACGGGUGAGUAACACGUGAGUAACCUGCCCUUGACUCUGGGAUAACUGAGGGAAACUGUAGCUAAUACCGGAUACGACCCUCGGCGGCAUCGCCAGGGGGUGGAAAGAAUUUCGGUCAAGGAUGGACUCGCGUCCUAUCAGCUAGUUGGUGAGGUAACGGCUCACCAAGGCGACGACGGGUAGCCGGCCUGAGAGGGUGACCGGGCACACUGGGACUGAGACCCGGCCCAGCCUCCUGCUGGAGGAAGCAGUGGGGAAUAUUGCACAGUGGGCGCAAGCCUGAUGCAGCAACGCCGCGUGAGGGAUGACGGCCUUCGGGUUGUAAACCUCUUUAGUAGGGAAGAAGCGAAAGUGACGGUACCUGCAGAAAAAGCACCGGCUAACUACGUGCCAGCAGCCGCAGUAA
rnacentral:rRNA from 1 species